GACUCAUCCUCCUUGACCCCAAAAAGCUCAGCUCCCCUGGUCUCCCAGCCACAUGCUACAACAUUGUUGGGGUGUCGAGGUGAGCUUGGACUCCAACUUCGGUAAUGUCACUGGUUAUAGUAGUGGCAGCAAAGUUUGCAAGGGAUUGGUUGUGCUCUGUCCAGAGCCGAGUGAGACCAGCUGGCUUCCCUUAGUUUGCGGCAGAAAUUAUAAAAAAAAGCUGCUGCCUGGAUUGUGCUGUUGCACAGGGUAAGGAAACAGCCCCUUUCCUAUCUCAGCAAACAUUUCUGGUAAAUUAUUAUUAGUAUUAUUAAUGAGUUUGUAUUGAACUGCAUUAACUCUUCAUUGAACGGUUUGUUUUCUACUUGACUGAUAUGCCACUAUGUUUUUUAGCUCUGGUUCUAUGGAUGGAAAUACGGUCUCGUCUACUUCGUUGUUCAGCUUUGUUGUUGGGAGAGCAGCAUGCAAAUACUAAAUCAAAAUCAGCACCUGAAAGAAAAGCAUCAGAAAUGGCACCGAAGGGGCAAAGGGCAUUUCUCAGUGGGUGGGGAAGGAGAGGAGCAUGUGAAGAGUAACCACACGUGACUAGAAAGAAGGAGGCGAGUGAGAACUGACAGUUUGGCAAGUUCAUCACCAGGCAAAUGUUUGCUUUUCUUUUUCUUUUUCAGACGAUGGGGGCCUUCUGAACCGACUAGCAAAGCUGGCCGUAAUCCAAAAGACUGUGUUGUCAUGAAGAAAGGAGAGAACCAUAAGUGGCGUAAUGGCUCGUGCAACUCCACCAAUCUGUUUAUUUGUGAAAAGAGCAUGCAGCUUGCCUGUGUCUGGCAGGCUUUUCAUAGUUCUCACUGAACAAUCUUCUGUUUGGUAUUGGUGUACAUCCUCAGUCAGUUACAGAAUGCUAUGAACAAAUGCUAUAGAUCAGUUUAUUGCUCUGGAUCUGGUGUGGGUGUGUGCCCACUCAUGAGAAUCCUUCCAGAAGGGUACUCCAAAUCACACAGCCAUCUAUUAUUGCAGCAGCAACAGGCCACACAACAGAGACACAAACAUGGAGCCCACACAGCCAUGAUCUCCUACAUCCUACAUAGGUGUGACUUUGCCCCAAAGGCAAAACGAGUCACAUCAGAAAGGGCCAUACAGUGGUGCCUCGCAAGACGAAAUUAAUCCGUUCCGCGAGAGUCUUCGUCUAGCGGUUUUUUCGUCUUGCGAAGCAAGCCCAUUGACGGAUUAGCGCUAUUAGCGCUAUUAGCGGUUUAGCGGCUAUUAAAGGCUUAAAGGCUUAGGGGAUUAGCUGCUAAAAGGCUAUUAAAGGCUAUUAAAGGCUUAGCAGAUUAGAUAAAGGGGGGGGAAAGCGAAAAAAAAAAUCUCAAGACUCGCAAGGUAUUUUCGUCUUGCGAAGCAAGCCCAUAGGGGAAUUCGUCCUGCGAAGCAACUUCAGAACGGAAAACCCUUUCGUCUAGCGGUUUUUCCGUCUUGCGAGGCAUUCGUCUUGCGG